rnacentral:rRNA from 1 species
GGAAUUUUGCCCAAUGGACGAAAGUCUGAGGCAGCAACUCCGCGUGAGGGAUGACGGCCUUCGGGUUGUAAACCUCUUUCAGUAGGGAAGAAGCGAAAGUGACGGUACCUGCAGAAGAAGCGCCGGCUAACUACGCGCCAGCAGCCGCGGUAAUACGUAGGGCGCAAGCGUUAUCCGGAAUUAUUGGGCGUAAAGAGCUCGUAGGCGGUUUGUCGCGUCUGCCGUGAAAGUCCGGGGCUCAACUCCGGAUCUGCGGUGGGUACGGGCAGACUAGAGUGAUGUAGGGGAGACUGGAAUUCCUGGUGUAGCGGUGAAAUGCGCAGAUAUCAGGAGGAACACCGAUGGCGAAGGCAGGUCUCUGGGCAUUAACUGACGCUGAGGAGCGAAAGCAUGGGGAGCGA